ACUUUCGCGCGCUGCAGACUCCGGCAGACUGAGUGUCGAGAAAGUCUUGAGGCUAGCGUACGCGAUUGCUGCGCUCCUGGCGGCCGAUACCUCACCUAUCGCGUCACGCGUCUUUGCCCGGUCUUUCUGUGCUCCGAUUCCUUAGAAACUCGAGUGUACGUACGUUUCUCGUACGGGUUUCUGCACAUGUUAAAUCAAAUUCUGCGCCUGGCUCGCCGAUGCGGAAAAUCCCAUCCGGAAAUAACAAUCUCGAUUUUCGUAAACAUAACAAGAACACUGAUCCCCGACACGGCGAUGUAUGCGACGUGAUCGCAUAAAGGUUUGAGUAGAAGGGAAGGAACACGACACAGGUGCGAAAAUAAAUUACGAAGCGUUUCUUAAUGAAACUUUUGCAGUAGACAGUGCUUUGGCAAUUUUUCAAGCCUGUCUCAUACUUGUCCUGUUCUCCGUGAAAAGGGGAUGACCGGAGACUGAAACGUGAAGAGUGAAAAAUGUUUAUACUCCCCGGGAAGAGCCACGAAUACCCGGUAUCAGUUUACUUGGAGCUGUUACAAACUAUUAAGAGAAUGUAAUUAAGCGGAGAAUGUAGAUAAUGCCAUGUAUAUUAAACUUGGGAUAGUUGAAAUAUCCCACCAGCGGCGUCU